rnacentral:rRNA from 1 species
CUACGGGCUGCUGCAGUGGGGAAUAUUGGACAAUGGGCGCAAGCCUGAUCCAGCAAUGCCGCGUGUGUGAAGAAGGCCUGCGGGUUGUAAAGCACUUUCAAUUGGGAAGAAAAGGGUUUGGCUAAUACCCAGACUCCUUGACGUUACCGAUAGAAGAAGCACCGGCUAACUCCGUGCCAGCAGGCCGCGGUAAUACGGUGGGUGCAAGCGUUAAUCGGAAUUACUGGGCGUAAAGCGCACGUAGGUGGCGUGUUAAGUCAGGUGUGAAAGCCCUGGGCUCAACCUGGGAACUGCAUUUGAUACUGGCAUGCUUGAGUUGGGUAGAGGCAAGUGGAAUUCCAGGUGUAGCGGUGAAAUGCGUAGAUAUCUGGAGGAACAUCAGUGGCGAAGGCGACUUGCUGGACCAAAACUGACGCUGAGGUGCGAAAGCGUGGGUAGCAAACAGGAUUAGAUACCCGGGUAGUC